AACCACAUCACAUUGAAAACACCGGUUGUCAUACAAUCACCAAAGUUAAGCAAUAUUGAGUGUGGUCUGUACCUACAUUGGUGACUGCUUGUGAAUACCAGGUGCUGUA